rnacentral:rRNA from 1 species
GAGCGUUGUUCGGAGUUACUGGGCGUAAAGCGUGCGUAGGCGGUGUCUUAAGUUUGUUGUGAAAUCUCCCGGCUUAACCGGGAGGGUGCGGCGAAUACUGAGAUGCUGGAGUGCCGGAGAGGUAAGCGGAAUUCCUGGUGUAGCGGUGAAAUGCGUAGAUAUCAGGAGGAACACCUGCGGUGUAGACGGCUUACUGGACGGUAACUGACGCUGAGGCACGAAAGCGUGGGUAGCAAACAGG